UUUAGUCCGCGAUGGCUUCCCUCGCGCCCCACCGUCCUCUUCCGGAAGGCGGCUCCCUCCCUGCGCAGCCCGGAGCCCCUGGGAUCAGCCUCGAGCAGGCGCCCGAGCGAGACUAUCCCUAAACGGGAACGGCGGUGGCCGACUCGCGAGUGAGGAAAAGAAGGAAAGGGCAGACUGGUCGCGAAGAGGAGAUCCAGGCCUCAGAGGAGGAGAAAGGCCGGAGCCAGCCGAGCUGUCACGACCGGAGGGGGGACUCGCAGCCUUACCAGGCACUUAAGUAUUCAUCGAAGAGUCACCCCAGUAGCGGUGAUCACAGACAUGAAAAGAUGCGAGACGCCGCAGAUCCUUCACCACCAAAUAAAAUGUUGCGGAGAUCUGAUAGUCCUGAAAACAAAUACAGUGACAGCACAGGUCACAGUAAGGCCAAAAAUGUGCAUACUCACAGAGUUAGAGAGAGGGAUGGUGAAACAAGAUGCUGAUGUGAGCAUCUAAAAAGUGGACUCUUAA
rnacentral:sRNA from 1 species